GACGAACGCUGGCGGCGUGCCUAAUACAUGCAAGUAGAACGCUGAAGGAGGAGCUUGCUUCUCUGGAUGAGUUGCGAACGGGUGAGUAACGCGUAGGUAACCUGCCUGGUAGCGGGGGAUAACUAUUGGAAACGAUAGCUAAUACCGCAUAAUAGUAGAUGUUGCAUGACAUUUGCUUAAAAGGUGCAAUUGCAUCACUACCAGAUGGACCUGCGUUGUAUUAGCUAGUUGGUGGGGUAACGGCUCACCAAGGCGACGAUACAUAGCCGACCUGAGAGGGUGAUCGGCCACACUGGGACUGAGACACGGCCCAGACUCCUACGGGAGGCAGCAGUAGGGAAUCUUCGGCAAUGGACGGAAGUCUGACCGAGCAACGCCGCGUGAGUGAAGAAGGUUUUCGGAUCGUAAAGCUCUGUUGUAAGAGAAGAACGAGUGUGAGAGUGGAAAGUUCACGCUGUGACGGUAUCUUACCAGAAAGGGACGGCUAACUACGUGCCAGCAGCCGCGGUAAUACGUAGGUCCCGAGCGUUGUCCGGAUUUAUUGGGCGUAAAGCGAGCGCAGGCGGUUAGAUAAGUCUGAAGUUAAAGGCUGUGGCUUAACCAUAGUACGCUUUGGAAACUGUUUAACUUGAGUGCAAGAGGGGAGAGUGGAAUUCCAUGUGUAGCGGUGAAAUGCGUAGAUAUAUGGAGGAACACCGGUGGCGAAAGCGGCUCUCUGGCUUGUAACUGACGCUGAGGCUCGAAGGCGUGGGGAGCAAACAGG
rnacentral:rRNA from 1 species